rnacentral:lncRNA from 1 species
CUAAUAAGAUAAGUUCUUGUCACUUAUUUCUUAACAAAUUUCCAUUGUUCAAGUUCUGACUUCAUUUGUUGAGCUAUUUUAAUUUUUGUAUGAGAGAAAUGAAACACUUUAUGACUGGUAUGUCGAAACUUUGAUCAGUUCAUUGUGGAAUAAUGGCGGUGAUUUGGAUUCUUAACUAAAUUAUGAUAGGCUUCCAUUUUGGGGGCUCUGGUUUGGUUUUAUGUGUCUUUUUGUUACUAGGUAGAAAAUACUUAAUGCUGGUAUCCCAGAGUUUUACUUACUGGAUAUAAAUAGAAACGAGGCUUAUUUAUUGAGAAUUUUAUCUGUAGUGUGUGUCAGUGCCCUCGUACUUUUCAAGUGAAACCUUGAAGAAAAGCAUAAU